rnacentral:rRNA from 1 species
CCUACGGGAGGCAGCAGUGGGGAAUCUUGCGCAAUGGGCGAAAGCCUGACGCAGCCAUGCCGCGUGAAUGAUGAAGGUCUUAGGAUUGUAAAAUUCUUUCACCGGGGACGAUAAUGACGGUACCCGGAGAAGAAGCCCCGGCUAACUUCGUGCCAGCAGCCGCGGUAAUACGAAGGGGGCUAGCGUUGCUCGGAAUUACUGGGCGUAAAGGGAGCGUAGGCGGAUAGUUUAGUCAGAGGUGAAAGCCCAGGGCUCAACCUUGGAAUUGCCUUUGAUACUGGCUAUCUUGAGUAUGGGAGAGGUAUGCGGAACUCCGAGUGUAGAGGUGAAAUUCGUAGAUAUUCGGAAGAACACCAGUGGCGAAGGCGGCAUACUGGCCCAUUACUGACGCUGAGGCUCGAAAGCGUGGGGAGCAAACAGGAUUAGAUACCCUGGUAGUCCACGCUGUAAACGAUGAGUGCUAGUUGUCGGCAUGCAUGCAUGUCGGUGACGCGAGCUACGACAUAAGACACUCCGCCGUCGGGAGGUACGGUCGCGAAGAAGUUAAAACGUUAAAACGGUAAGUUAGUACGGCGUGAGACGUGCCGACGGACGACGACGAGGGAGGUUAGG